rnacentral:lncRNA from 1 species
AUGGAUUUGUGUUUGGCUUUUCACAGGGAAAAUAAGAGAGACAAAGAAAAGGUCAAGGAAAAAAAGACCAAAGAAAAGGAGAAAGAGAGAGAUGGAGAGCGAAACAAAGAUCGAGAGAGUGUUGGAGACAAGGAUAAGGACCAAGAUAGGGACAGAGACAAGGAAAAGGAGAAAGAUAAGGAGAAGGAAAAAGACAGGGAAGAAGUACACCAGAACAAGGAAAAAGAAGAUAUUAAGGAAGGGGGGGUAAAAGACAGAGAGAAGGUGAAGGACAAAGAGGGAGAUAAGGAUAAAGGAGGGGACAAAGAGAAAGAUAGAGACAAAGAAAAGGAAAAAGAUGGGGAUAAGUUGAAGGAGCAACAAAAAGGAACAGAUGAUGAAAGAAAGAAAGAGAAGCGAUCCAGAACACCCCCAAGAAGCUAUAGUUCUUCAAGAAGAUCUUGCAGCUCCAGCAGAGAAAGACAUAAAAGGAAGAGUAGAAGUCCUUCCAAGUCUCCUAAAACAUCCAAAGCAACAAAAAGAAAGUCUUCGCAAACUCCUUCUCCAAUAAGAAACAAGAAAGAAAAAAAAAGAGAAAGGGAUACAAAUAAUGAAAGAAGAGAGAGAGAAUGUUCCACCUCCAAGAAAAAAAGUGAUAAAGAAAAAGGUAGAAAGGAGCAAUCUGACCAAAGCACCACUACUUUGAAGGUUAAAAAAUCCACAAAAACAAUAUGUACUGUUUAUUCUUGGAAGUGGUGUAAGAGAUUUAUAGGUGAAAGCAAAGAUUAAUUUUGGGGACCACCAGUGUACUAAAGUAGCAUCUGAAUACAAAGUAUUUUUUGAUCACCUACAUCAGACAGCCCUUUAGACAUUUGAUCUACAUUUGGAUGGCUUUAAUCAUUACCUCUCCAUCAUUUUCUCUAAUACCUGUUGAGUGAUAUCAAAGGAAUUGUACUGAUGGGGGGACAAAUAAUUUGGGGAAAAAUGUUCUAAUUUACAAAGGAUUUGUAUGGUAGGUUUUGUGUUUUUUUUUUCAUUCUUUGGGGAGAAAGCAUGUAAGAAAGAGAAUGAAAAGCAAAUAUUUUUGUCAAGUCAAAAUAUGACUUGUGCUAUUUGAACUAAUCAGUUUCAUCAUUGUGAGAUGUCUUAAAGUCAUAUCUUUAGAACUUGUACCUAAUCAAGUAGAUUAUUUUUAAUACAACUUAAUGCAAUCAAAUGACUAUAUUGCCUUAAUUCAUGGGAAGAAUUUAUUUCAGUUAAAAGCAAGAAACAAAACAAACAACAACAAACAAAACCAACAGUUUCUUUUCAUUUGCAUAGUUAAUUCUUAUGGAAGGAAAAUCAAAACACAGUAAAGGGAAUGAGAAAUAAGCCCAAUUUAUAAGGUAAUGAAACCCAAUUUGACAGUGAAGCUGAUUAAUUGUUCUUAUUUUUUGUAGGAUUUAAUGUUCUUGCCACUGUGUCCAUUUAAGACUAGAAAGUGCUUUACCGUAUAAAGUAUAGACAGUAAUUUUUGUAAUAUUUAAGCCAUAUGCUGUUGGCUGGUAAACAGCUUAUUCUGAUUAAAAAAUAAAUAAAUCUGUAUGCUUAUGGAAAGACUGUGAAGUAUCAUGUCUUGCAACAACAGCUGUCUUAUAAUGUGUAAGUAGCAUAAAGCAAAGAGAUUGUAUACUUGUUAUCUUUGGCACCGUUUCACUAAUAAAAUUAGGUAUUUUAGAGGGAAGUUUCUGUUGGCAUGUACAUAUUAAAGGAAUAAUUUUAGUUGAUCAUCUGGUCUUAUUCAGGUAGUUAUUUUGAUUUGAAAUGUGGAUACAAGUG